CCCUGAUGUUAGCGGCGGACGGGUGAGUAACACGUGGGUAACCUGCCUGUAAGACUGGGAUAACUCCGGGAAACCGGGGCUAAUACCGGAUGGUUGUCUGAACCGCAUGGUUCAGACAUAAAAGGUGGCUUCGGCUACCACUUACAGAUGGACCCGCGGCGCAUUAGCUAGUUGGUGAGGUAACGGCUCACCAAGGCGACGAUGCGUAGCCGACCUGAGAGGGUGAUCGGCCACACUGGGACUGAGACACGGCCCAGACUCCUACGGGAGGCAGCAGUAGGGAAUCUUCCGCAAUGGACGAAAGUCUGACGGAGCAACGCCGCGUGAGUGAUGAAGGUUUUCGGAUCGUAAAGCUCUGUUGUUAGGGAAGAACAAGUGCCGUUCAAAUAGGGCGGCACCUUGACGGUACCUAACCAGAAAGCCACGGCUAACUACGUGCCAGCAGCCGCGGUAAUACGUAGGUGGCAAGCGUUGUCCGGAAUUAUUGGGCGUAAAGGGCUCGCAGGCGGUUUCUUAAGUCUGAUGUGAAAGCCCCCGGCUCAACCGGGGAGGGUCAUUGGAAACUGGGGAACUUGAGUGCAGAAGAGGAGAGUGGAAUUCCACGUGUAGCGGUGAAAUGC
rnacentral:rRNA from 2 species